rnacentral:rRNA from 1 species
GUGUCAGCAGCCGCGGUAAUACGUAGGGUGCGAGCGUUAAUCGGAAUUACUGGGCGUAAAGCGUGCGUAGGCGGCUCGUUAAGUCAGAUGUGAAAGCCCUGGGCUCAACCUGGGAACGGCAUUUGAAACUGGCGAGCUAGAGUUUGGGAGAGGAGAGUGGAAUUUCAGGUGUAGCGGUGAAAUGCGUAGAGAUCUGAAGGAACACCAGUGGCGAAGGCGACUCUCUGGCCUAAAACUGACGCUGAGGUACGAAAGCGUGGGUAGCAAACAGGAUUAGAUACCCUGGUAGUCCACGCCGUAAACGAUGUCAACUAGCCGUUGGCUCUCUUAGAGAGUUAGUGGCGCAGCUAACGCAUUAAGUUGACCGCCUGGGGAGUACGGCCGCAAGGUUAAAACUUAAAUGAAUUGACGGGG